AAAAAGAUUUAUUUUAUGUAUGUGAGUACACUGUAGCUGUACAGAUGGUUGUGAGCCUUCAUGUGGUUGUUGGGAAUUGAAUUUAAAGACCUCUGCUCGCUCUGGACAACUAUACUCACUCAGUCCCUGCUCACUCUGAACGAAAGAUUUAUUUAUUAUUAUACGUAAGUACACUGUAGCUGUCUUCAAACGCAGCAGAAGAGGGCAUCGGUUCUCAUUACGGAUGGUUGCGAGCCACCAUGUGGUUGCUGGGAUUUGAACUCAGGACUUUCAGAAGAGCAGUCAGUGCUCUUACCUGCUGAGCCACUCCCUGCACCAUUUUAUCAGCCCAUUGGACAACACUGGACCUUGGAUGAAGCCAACUUCUCAGAGAACUUUCUAUGGCACCCUUGACACCUGCUCGGCCCCUAGAACGUUCAAGCCGCCCUUAAUAGCACCCCUAGUAAAACGGGGUCGAGCAACCACCUCUGUGGCCUCUUCAUCCUGUACCAGAGAGCCAUUUGCAUCUCAUUGAAUCUGGGCUUUGGGGCCAGGAGAGGAUGUUGCCCACUAAUUAAUCUUGGCUGUCAAUUUAACCACAUCUGGAGUCAACUAAACCCCAAGCAGCUGGGAUUGCCUGUGAAGGAUUUUUCUUGGUUGGAUUAUUUUGAGGUGGGAGACUCACCCUAAGUCCAGAUCAUUUGGCCCUAAAUCCAGAUCAUUUGGCCCUAAAUCUGGGCCACACAAAAGGACACGGGAGAAGGGACGUCUUCGUGUCUCUGUCUGCGCAUGUCUCCAUCCUGUUCGCUAUGUUCAUAUUUAGAGAACCCUAACUUAACACAGUUGCCUUUCUCAAUUUAACUGUGCAUUCUAGUUUCUGUGCUGGGAGCUGUAGCAUCCAGGGAAGUUUUUGUAAGCUGAGUAUCUUAAGACUAAAGUGGUAUAAAGUUGUAAUUUAUUACAAAGUUCUUGCUCUUGGUUCCGUUUUGUAUUUUUAUAAAGCUGCUGAAUCCACGGAAGGAUCGUACUUUGCCUUGAUUCAUUCACUUGGUGUGUCAUCACCAAUCACUUUCACAACACCACGUGGGAGUGGCGAGAAGCAGAAUCCUAUAACCUGGCUCAGCCCCGAAGCAUGACCUUUGGCCGGUCUGUGCCCAAAUUGCUGACAGAUCAUGGUUCCUCUCUUGUCUGGGUCCUAGAGACGCACUAGGUCGGCUCCACAGCAGGCCAGGCUCCGCUCCGGACUCGCGUGGCGCUCCCCGAGGCCUCCAGCUCCUAAUGGCAGCGACACUGAGCGUGGAGCCCACGGGCCGCAGCUGCUGGGACGAGCCGCUGAGCAUCGCCGUGCGCGGCCUGGCCCCCGAGCAGCCCGUCACGCUGCGCUCUGUCCUGCGCGACGAGAAGGGCGCGCUCUUCCGAGCCCACGCGCGCUACCGCGCGGACUCCCACGGCGAGCUGGACCUGGCGCGCGUGCCCGCGCUGGGCGGCAGCUUCUCGGGGCUCGAGCCCAUGGGGCUGCUCUGGGCCAUGGAGCCCGAUCGGCCUUUCUGGCGCCUGAUCAAGCGCGACGUGCAGACGCCCUUCUUGGUGGAGCUGGAGGUGCUGGACGGACACGAGCCCGAUGGCGGGCGGCGGCUGGCGCGGACGGUGCACGAGCGUCACUUCAUGGCUCCCGGGGUGCGGCGCGUGCCCGUGCGCGAGGGCCGGGUGCGCGCCACGCUCUUCCUGCCCCCAGGACAAGGACCCUUUCCAGGCAUCAUCGAUGUUUAUGGUGUUGGAGGAGGCCUGUUGGAAUACCGAGCCGGCCUUGUGGCUGGCCAUGGCUUUGCCACAUUGGCUCUGGCUUUUUAUGACUUUGAGGAUCUCCCCAAAGAGCUCAACGUCAUAGAAGUGGACUACUUUGAAGAAGCAGUGCGGUACAUGCUUCGACAUCCAAAGGUUCUCCUUGUGUGCUUUACUUAAUCCGUGUCCCUGGAAUUAUCUCUACAGAGGUGGUCUCCUGCUCCAGCUGUACUGAGGCUGUUCUGUCCUUUGUUCGUGAGGAAGUUUCUUGGGGAGAUUUUCUUGGCUUUGAGCAUCUAACACUUCCCCUUUCUCUGUUGCAUAGCUUCAUAAACAUUUAAUAAAAUGAAAUUUCAUCUCAUAUACUAGUAAAAUUCCUCUUGCCAUACAGACUAGAUAUCUUCCCAAGCUGGCUUUAUAACCUUUCAUUUUCCUCUCAAAUUUCGCCACAAUUUGCCCACCCUUUCCAAAGGCUAACAACUACUAAGUUGGACACUGGACUCUGUUUCUAUGAAGUUAAUCAUUUUCUAGGAUUGCCUCGAUGGAGUUGGACAAAUGAUUCACAUCUUGGGCCACUGAUUAAGCCACAUGGGUCAACACACUGUCAAAUAAAGCCAUGGGUCAGAUUCACUGGAAAUGAGGUCCUUGCCCGACAGGCUCCCGAGACUCAGCAUUGAUAACCAGUCCCUAAAUGUGACUGUUUGGCUUUGUCUGCCAUAAAAGAUUUAUUUACGUUUAUUUUGUGUGUAUGGGUAUUUUGCCUGCAUUUGUGGCCAUGCACCAGAUGCAUGCGUUGACCACAGAGGCCAGGAGAGGGCAACAGAUCCCCUGGGGGUUAUGGACAGUUGUAUGUGGGUACUGGGAAUCGAACCAGGAUCCUUUGGAAGAGCGGCUAGUGCUCUUAACAACUGAGUCAUCUCUCCAGCCCCUCUAGCAACAUCCUUUGGUGCUCGGUAAAAGGCCCAGACAUUGGGCUUCUGGGUCUUUCCCUAGGAGCUGAUGUCUGUCUGAUCAUGGCUUCCUUCUUGAAUAAUGUCUCAGCCACAGUUUCCAUCAAUGGCUCUGCAUUCAGUGGAAACAGACAUAUCAAGUACAAGCAGACCAUGAUUCCGCCGUUGGGCCAUGACCUGAGGAGAAUGAAGGUGGCUUUCUCUGGCAUUCUGGACAUUGUGGAUAUACGGAAUGAUGCUGUAGGAGGCUGUGAGAACCCCAGCAUGAUACCAAUAGAGAAGGCCAAGGGGCCCAUCCUCUUUGUGGCUGGCCAGGAUGAUCAUUGCUGGAGGAGUGAGUUAUAUACUCAGAUAGCCUCGGACCGGUUACAGGCUCAUGGAAAGGAAAGGCCCCAGGUACUCUCUUACCCUGGGACUGGGCAUUACAUCGAACCACCUUACUUUCCCAUGUGCCCAGCUUCCCUGCACAAAAUAGUGAACGAAGCUGUGAUUUGGGGAGGGGAGGUCAAGGCUCACUCCAAAGCCCAGAUAGAUGCAUGGAAGCAAAUUCUAUUCUUCUUUGGCAAACACCUGGGCAGUACCCACAGCAGAGCCUCCUGUAGACUGUAGUGGGUUUGCCUGUAACAGACAUGGUAGAUUCAAGGUCAAAUUUUAAUGAUCAGUAACUAUGUGAAUCAGUUUUCUGCUGGAUGACAUGAAAUUCAUGUUUAGGGCAUUAAUGGCUUAUAAGUCACUGUACUGAAUAAGUUAUUAAUCAAUAUGGUUAUUCUACUACCAGCCUGUGCUUGUUACAGAUUCGGCUAUAUGUGAUACAAUGAGUAAAGUUUAAAAACAGUGACCUCUUAUUAAAAGGUAUGAUUUCUUCUAAGUUCAGCAUUU